rnacentral:rRNA from 1 species
CCUACGGGGGGCUGCAGUCGAGAAUCUUUCGCAAUGGGGGAAACCCUGACGACGCGACGCCGCGUGGAGGAUGAAGGCCUUCGGGUUGUAAACUCCUGUCAGCAGGGGAGAACAAGUUGUCGGUGAAUAAUCGAUAGCUUUGACAGUACCUGCAGAGGAAGCCACGGCUAACUCUGUGCCAGCAGCCGCGGUAAUACAGAGGUGGCAAGCGUUGUUCGGAUUUAUUGGGCGUAAAGGGUCCGUAGGCGGUCUGAAAAGUUGGAUGUGAAAUCCCACAGCUUAACUGUGGAACUGCAUUCAAAACUUUCAGACUAGAGUGUGAUAGGGGUAAAGGGAAUUCCCGGUGUAAGGGUGAAAUCUGCAGAGAUCGGGAGGAACACCAGUCGCGAAGGCGCUUUACUGGAUCACUACUGACGCUGAGGCGCGAAAGCCAGGGGAGCAAACGGGAUUAGAUACCCCAGUAGUC